GCCAAUGAUGCAAAUAUUGGAUUUGGCUGAAAUGCAAAAUUUUGCAUUUUUGUGUGGAAAAUUUUGAACUAGGACGGUCUGAGGC
rfam:Glycine soja cultivar W05 scaffold3892_14, whole genome shotgun sequence.